rnacentral:rRNA from 1 species
GACGUAGGGGACGAGCGUUGUCCGGAUUCAUUGGGCGUAAAGCGCGCGUAGGCGGUUUGGUAAGUCGGAUGUGAAAACCAGAGGCUCAACCUCUGGCCUGCAUCCGAUACUGCCCGACUAGAGGUAGGUAGGGGAGAUCGGAAUUCCUGGUGUAGCGGUGAAAUGCGUAGAUAUCGAGAGGAACACCGGUGGCGAAGGCGGGCUCCUGGGAC